rnacentral:rRNA from 1 species
GUGGGGAAUAUUGGGCAAUGGGCGCAAGCCUGACCCAGCAACGCCGCGUGAAGGAAGAAGGCUUUCGGGUUGUAAACUUCUUUUACCAGGGACGAAACAAAUGACGGUACCUGGUGAAUAAGCCACGGCUAACUACGUGCCAGCAGCCGCGGUAAUACGUAGGUGGCGAGCGUUAUCCGGAUUUAUUGGGUGUAAAGGGCGUGUAGGUGGGACAGCAAGUCAGAUGUGAAAACCAGAGGCUCAACCUCUGGCCUGCAUUUGAAACUGUUGUUCUUGAGUGUCGGGGAGGUAAUCGGAAUUCCGUGUGUAGCGGUGAAAUGCGUAGAUAUUAGGAGGAACACCAGUGGCGAAGGCGGCUUACUGGACUGUAACUGACGUUGAGGCUCGAAAGCGUGGGGAGCAAACAGGAUUAGAAACCCGAGUAGUCC